GUAAAUCAUGGUAAAAAUGCAUAUAUUAUAUAUGCUACAAAAUUUUAAUACUACCAAUACCUAUAUUUCUGGAGCGAGUACUAUACGCAUUGUUGCAUAUAGUACUGUUGAUCUUCCAGGUUUAAGUUAACGAAGGAGUUUGAAUUCUUCUUAGCGGAUGAAAUUUGAAAUUUUGAUGGUUGAAAAUUGAAUGAAAAUUUGAGGGGCUAAAGAUGAGUCAUGGAUGCGUGGGGACAAAUUUUAAGGGAACAGACAGUACACAUCAUCACAAACCUACAGUGGUGACCAAAAAUCAGUCACCCAAGGACAGCACCGUUUAAUCGCUCACCUCACCCGGCCCGGCCCCACCUCCCACCACCUAAUCCAACACACUGGCCCAGCCACUGAGGGCAGGGGCCCACCUGUAAGAGGCUGGCGGAUGGGCCCGCCGCCCUGUCAGGGCUCGCCGACGCCGUCCCACGCGAGGCCCAGGCGGCCGCCCUCCUGCAGCGCGCGGAGCAGCUGGGCGCCCUUGCGCCGN
rnacentral:lncRNA from 1 species